rnacentral:rRNA from 1 species
GACGAACGCUGGCGGCGUGCUUAACACAUGCAAGUCGAACGGAAAGGCGCUGCUUUUGUUGGGUUCUCGAUUGGCGAACGGGUGAGUAACACGUGAGUAACCUGCCCUUAACUUUGUGAUAACUUCAGGAAACUGGGGCUAAUACCGGAUAUGAGCUCCUGCUGCAUGUGGUGGGUUGGAAAAUUUCGGCGGUGGUGGAUGGACUCGCUGCUUAUCAGCUUGUUGGUGGGGUAGUGGCUUACAAAGGCUUUGACGGGUAGCCGGCAUGAGAGCGUGAACGGCCACAUUGGGACUGAGAUACGGCGCAGAAUGCUAUGGGAGGCAGCAGUGGGGAAUAUUGCACAAUGGGCGGAAGCCUGAUGCAGCAACGCCGCGUGCGGGAUGACGGCCUUCGGGUUGUAAACCGCUUUCGACUGUGACGAAGAGUUAGUGACGGUAAUGGGUAAAGAAGCAACGGCUAACUACGUG